GAUGAACGCUAGCGGCAGGCUUAACACAUGCAAGUCGAGGGGUAUAGGUUUUCGGACCUAGAGACCGGCGCACGGGUGCGUAACGCGUAUGCAAUCUACCUUUCACAGAGGGAUAGCCCAGAGAAAUUUGGAUUAAUACCUCAUAGUAUUAUAGAAUGGCAUCAUUUUAUAAUUAAAGUCACAUCGGUGAAAGAUGAGCAUGCGUCCCAUUAGCUAGUUGGUACGGUAACGGCAUACCAAGGCUACGAUGGGUAGGGGUCCUGAGAGGGAGAUCCCCCACACUGGUACUGAGACACGGACCAGACUCCUACGGGAGGCAGCAGUGAGGAAUAUUGGUCAAUGGGCGCAAGCCUGAACCAGCCAUGCCGCGUGCAGGAUGACGGUCCUAUGGAUUGUAAACUGCUUUUGUACGGGAAGAAACACUCCUACGUGUAGGAACUUGACGGUACCGUAAGAAUAAGGAUCGGCUAACUCCGUGCCAGCAGCCGCAGUAA
rnacentral:rRNA from 1 species